UACGGAGGGUGCGAGCGUUGUUCGGAAUUACUGGGCGUAAAGCGCACGUAGGCGGAUCGUUAAGUCGGGGGUGAAAUCCUGGAGCUCAACUCCAGAACUGCCUUUGAUACUGGAGAGCUUGAGUCCGGAAGAGGUGAGUGGAACUCCGAGUGUAGAGGUGAAAUUCGUAGAUAUUCGGAAGAACACCAGUGGCGAAGGCGGCUCACUGGUCCGGUACUGACGCUGAUGUGCGAAAGCGUGGGGAGCAAACAGG
rnacentral:rRNA from 1 species